AGAGAGAAGGAAACAUAGCGCUCUAAGAAUAAGGGCGACCCAAUUUUCGAACAGAAAGUUGCAAUCGGAAAAAUGUAAGAAAAAGUUUGAAAAGAAAAAGCUUGCGGCAUAUGCCAAAACGAGAGGGAAGAUAUAAAGGAUCGUUUGCAUUUUGUUGAAAAUUAUCUAGAGAUAAAAGGGAAAGGGGGAAGAUAGUCAAAGGGUAAAAACUCUCUUUGGCAAAUUCGCCUCGUUUUCGGAUAAUUAUGUAUGCAUGAGGUGGAGAAGAUCGAGAUUAAAUUAACGAAGGGAGAGAUCCGAACUGCGGAUACGAUCAUUUUCUCUCUUAUAAUUUCUUCGGAUACAGUUUGCGAAGUCUGUUCUUUCUCGAGAGAUAUUACGUCGAGCGUAUACAGAAGAUAAAUAACAAUGGAGGAAGAGUACAAAACGCAUCGGGGAGGAGAACAGGAUAACAAUGAAAACGGUAAAAAGAGAAAUAUUCCUACGAGCUCGGAAAUGGAAGCAACGCAUUUGCGAACGGAUUCUCCUGCACGAUCCGAAACUCACGAGAACGAGGAUAACGAGGAAUACGAAACCGCUAUUUUCACUCUGGCCACCUUCGCGGCAGUUUUUGUUCUCUAUAUAUAUAUCGUCUAUAGCCUUAGUAGUCCGCCAUUAAUAUUACGCCAAUGUUCUUAUUCUUUCGAUCGCCUAGAAUAAAUCAUUUUCAACGA